GACUCGUGUUCGUCCUCGUCGGCAUUGCUAUCGCCACCCUGUUUUUUACCGUCAUUCCGACGUCGUAUCCCGCCUCGUACGGUGGGGCCCGCGGCCACGUAGCGAUCUCGGAUUCGCUGUCGUAUUACCCCGUCGAGACGUACCAAAGAGCCUACAACCCUCGCGUCGGGUUCGGGGCGGUGAAUUCGGGCGGGAAGAUUCCCCUGGGGCUGAAACGGAAGGGGCUUAGAAUAGUCGUCACGGGUGGGGCGGGGUUCGUCGGGUCUCACCUCGUGGACCGUCUGAUCGCGAGGGGCGACAGCGUGAUCGUUGUAGAUAAUUUCUUCACGGGAAGGAAAGAAAACGUGAUGCACCACUUUGGUAACCCGAAUUUUGAGCUCAUCAGACACGACGUCGUCGAGCCUCUCUUGCUUGAAGUCGACCAGAUCUACCAUCUCGCUUGUCCCGCAUCUCCAGUUCAUUACAAAUUCAACCCCGUCA
rnacentral:lncRNA from 1 species